GACGAACGCUGGCGGCGUGCCUAAUACAUGCAAGUUGAGCGCUGAAGGUUGGUACUUGUACCAACUGGAUGAGCAGCGAACGGGUGAGUAACGCGUGGGGAAUCUGCCUUUGAGCGGGGGACAACAUUUGGAAACGAAUGCUAAUACCGCAUAAAAACUUUAAACACAAGUUUUAAGUUUGAAAGAUGCAAUUGCAUCACUCAAAGAUGAUCCCGCGUUGUAUUAGCUAGUUGGUGAGGUAAAGGCUCACCAAGGCGAUGAUACAUAGCCGACCUGAGAGGGGGAGCGGCCACAUUGGGACUGAGACACGGCACAAACUCCUACGGGAGGCAGCAGGAGGGAAUCUUCGGCAAUGGACGAAAGUCUGACCGAGCAACGCCGCGGGAGUGAAGAAGGUUUUCGGAUCGUAAAACUCUGUUGGUAGAGAAGAACGUUGGUGAGAGUGGAAAGCUCAUCAAGUGACGGUAACUACCCAGAAAGGGACGGCUAACUACGUG
rnacentral:rRNA from 1 species